UUAAUUAUCCCUAAUAUAUAGACCGCGACGUUGACGGGCACCGGGUUAAUCCAAAACAAAUAUUAAAUUAACAAAAAUGACUACGCUGCGACCAUUUACCUGUGAUGACCUUUUUAAAUUUAAUAACGUGAACUUUGAUCCGCUUACAGAAACAUACGGUCUCUCGUUUUACACACAAUAUCUGGCCAAAUGGCCCGAAUACUUUCAGCUGGCCGAAUCGCCCAGCGAGCACAUCAUGGGCUACAUCAUGGGCAAGGUUGAGGGACAUAUGGACAAUUGGCACGGACAUGUGACUGCGCUGACUGUCUCGCCCGACUACAGGCGCUUGGGUCUGGCGGCGCUGCUGAUGAGCUUCCUGGAAGACAUAUCGGAAAAGAAACGCGCCUACUUUGUGGAUCUGUUUGUGCGCAAAAGCAAUAAGGUGGCCAUCAACAUGUAUACAAAUCUGGGCUAUAUUAUAUAUCGCACCAUACUCGAGUACUACUCGGGUGACCAGGACGAGGAUGCGUAUGAUAUGCGUAAGGCGCUGUCCCGAGACGUGAACAAGAAAUCGGUUAUACCGUACACACAGCCUGUACGAUUGGAAGAUAUAGAUAUGAAUUGAUAUCCACCCAAUACUGCCCGCAUUCGCAUUUAUGUUUAACUGAACAUCAUGAUAAUUUACCAUAUACGAUUGCCACAAAAUUGCAUUCAGUUCGGCGUCGUGCUGCCGUUCUUCCAAAAUUUUAGUUAAUCAAUUAUCAAGCAACAACAGCAACAAAAAAAAUUGUAUCUAAUCCGGAGUUCUUAAGUUUGCCGUUACACACACACACACACACACACACACACACACACACACACACAGACAGACACAAAGUUCUAAAUCCCCAAUCUAUUGCUAACCUCUCGAAACCCAAAACCCGUACAAAUCCAAAAGAUACCCCCAAAAAAAAGAAAGAAAGAACAAAUUCCAAGUUGGAUUACAAUCGAUAUUGCGUUCAUGUAAUCCGUUGUUAUGUUAAUAAUACUUAUUAUAUAUAUUUCUAUAUGACUUUGUUAUCAGUUUUAAAAAUGACAAGCCGAUUGUAACUACUGAACUUCAAGAUAACAAUGCGCGAGUUGCGCCACCAAAUGCGGCACGAGGCUUAGUCCGCAUCGAGGAUAUAUCUUCUAUAUACCCAACAGAUCAUCUGGAUAGGAUCAGGCUGCCUUUUUCUUUGUUUAGCAACAAAAUUAUAUUGAAAAUUUGUAGUUUUGCAAGCGAAUACACACACAUGUUUAUAAAUUGAUAUCAAUGUACUAGCAGUUAUUACCCGGCGUUGCGCGGGCAUAGAUUGAGACUAGAUGUUUUUCGAACUGAAAUCAACAACAAAUCGAUAUAUUAAGCUUUUGUGGCUGAUCUUGUGUAACUCAUCAAUCUGUCAUUUCUUCAGUCAGUUAAAUCAACUAAAUUAUUCAUAUAUAUAUAUCUUUGUGUGUGUGUGUGUGUGUGUCGUUUGCAUAACAAAGAG